rnacentral:rRNA from 1 species
UACAGAGGUUCCGAGCGUUGUCCGGAAUUACUGGGCGUAAAGGGCGCGUAGGCGGCUUGGCAAGUCCGUCAUGAAAUGUACCGGUUCAACCGGGGCACUGUGUCGGAAACUGCCUGGCUUGAGGUCGAGGGAGGAGAGUGGAAUUCCUGGUGUAGCGGUGAAAUGCGCAGAUAUCAGGAGGAACACCGGUGGCGAAGGCGGGUCUCUGGGCCGAUACUGACGCUGAGGAGCGAAAGCGUGGGGAGCGAACAGG